rnacentral:rRNA from 1 species
GAUGAACGCUGGCGGCGUGCCUAAUACAUGCAAGUCGAGCGAACAGAUGAGGAGCUUGCUCCUCUGACGUUAGCGGCGGACGGGUGAGUAACACGUGGAUAACCUACCUAUAAGACUGGGAUAACUUCGGGAAACCGGAGCUAAUACCGGAUAAUAUAUUGAACCGCAUGGUUCAAUAGUGAAAGACGGUUUUGCUGUCACUUAUAGAUGGAUCCGCGCCGCAUUAGCUAGUUGGUAAGGUAACGGCUUACCAAGGCAACGAUGCGUAGCCGACCUGAGAGGGUGAUCGGCCACACUGGAACUGAGACACGGUCCAGACUCCUACGGGAGGCAGCAGUAGGCAAUCUUCCGCAAUGGGCGAAAGCCUGACGGAGCAACGCCGCGUGAGUGAUGAAGGUCUUCGGAUCGUAAAACUCUGUUAUUAGGGAAGAACAAAUGUGUAAGUAACUAUGCACGUCUUGACGGUAUCUAAUCAGAAAGCCACGGCUAACUACGUG